rnacentral:rRNA from 1 species
CCUACGGGUGGCAGCAGUGAGGAAUAUUGGUCAAUGGGCGGGAGCCUGAACCAGCCAAGUCGCGUGAAGGAUGACUGCACUUUGUAUUGUAAACUUCUUUUGUCGAGGAAUAAAGCGAGACACGCGUCCCUUUUUGCGUGUACUUGAUGAAUAAGCAUCGGCUAACUCCGUGCCAGCAGCCGCGGUAAUACGGAGGAUCCGAGCGUUAUCCGGAUUUAUUGGGUUUAAAGGGUGCGCAGAGGGGUGAUUAAUUCAGCGGUAAAAUUUUGGGGCUCAACCGAAACCGGCCAUUGAAACUGGUAGUCUUGAGUUGAAUAGAGGUAUGCGGAAUUCGUGGUGUAGCGGUGAAAUGCUUAGAUAUCACGAAGAACUCCGAUUGCGAAGGCAGCUUACUAAACUGCCACUGACAUUGAUGCUCGAAAGUGUGGGUAUCAAACAGGAUUAGAUACCCCAGUAGUC